rnacentral:rRNA from 1 species
UACGUAGGGGGCAAGCGUUGUCCGGAUUUAUUGGGCGUAAAGAGCGUGUAGGCGGCUAGGUAGGUGGGUUGUGAAAACUGGAGGCUCAACUUUCAGACGUCGACCCAAACCCCCUGGCUAGAGUCCGGAAGAGGAGAGUGGAAUUCCUGGUGUAGCGGUGAAAUGCGCAGAUAUCAGGAAGAACACCCGUGGCGAAGGCGGCUCUCUGGGACGGUACUGACGCUGAGACGCGAAAGCGUGGGGAGCGAACAGG